rnacentral:tRNA from 2 species
UAAUGGGUUCUGGUUGGCUAUCCCUGAGACGGCUGUUAACCGGUUGGUCGCUGGUUCGAAUCCGGCCCGGGGAGCCA